UGGAAGAAGGAGAAGAGGAGGCCGGCCAGGGAGUGGUGGAAGGAGGAAUUUUGUGAGGAGCUUGCUAGGAAAAAGAAGAAGAAGAUGAAGCGCCAAAAGGGGAGGGAUAAGGACUUUGGGGGAGAAAAUUGGUGGCCGACAGAUGAGGAUAUGUAUGUAGAUAGGAAGAAGAAGAGUAAGAGGAGCAGCAGAGGUGGGAGUAAGGGUAGUGUGGAUUGGUGGUUGGAUGGGCUGAGUGGUGAGCUUUGGAGAGCUCGACGCAACAGCCAUGAUUCGGCCGGUGGGGAAAUUCCAAAGAGUGGUGGUAUAAGCAGCACGCCGAGCAUGAGGGGAACGAUGUGUUAUGUUGCUCCUGAGUAUGGUGGU
rnacentral:lncRNA from 1 species